rnacentral:lncRNA from 1 species
GCCAUAAAGCAUUGCCGGCCUUAUUGCCGUCCUAUAAAAUUUUCCCUUGAGCUUCAGUGGCCUACAACGGUCACACAACACGCCGGAUGCACUCUUCCACUUCAUCCAUCCAUCUUGUAUUCUAUGGGUGAGAUCUCCAUCAAAUUCUCCGUUCUUUUGCAAGAUAGAUCCUAGGUAGCGAAAACAGUCGCUCUUUGGUAUUUCCUGAUCUCCGAUCCUCACCCCUAACUCAUUUUGGCCUCCGUUUGCACUGAACUUGCACUCCAUAUAUUCUGUCUUUGAUCGGCUUAGGCGAUGACCUUUAGAUUCCAACACUUCUCUCCAAAGGUUAAGCUUCGCGUUUACCCCUUCCUGCGUUUCAUCUAUCAACACUAUAUCGUUUGUGAAAAGCAUACACCAAAGAAUAUCAUCUUAAAUAUUAAGUUUGUGAUCUUCGCUAGAUUGCUCCGGUCAUUAGUGUGGAUAAGUAUGUAAAUGGAUAGAGACAGGAAGCAAACACAAGAUGUACGUGGUUCACCCAGAUUGGCUACGUCCACGGAGUAAAGGAGUUCUCAUUAAUUGUGAAGGGUUUACACAGUAUAUAGGUUCAAGCUCUCCUUUAGUGAAUACAAGUGAAUGAUUUAGUACAAAUGACAUUAGGAAAUAUUGUGGAAGAAUGAUCUCGUAAUCACGAAACUUUUAAGUACCGAAGUGUGGUAUCGUCUUCACUUGCCUUAUCUGUCUUAUAGGUAGAUGUGGCAUCUUCUUUGGAAGUACUCUUCCUACCUCCAGGGGUGGUAUCUUUAACUGGUGGAGAUGCACAAGGUAAUGUAUCAAUUUCACUUGACGCUUACUUGUAGUUUCAGGCUUGGUCAAGCGCGAUACAAACCAUGUAGUAGGAGUCCCCCAAGUCGCCGAGCUAGGGGAUCUGCUGAAAGAGGUGACAGACAAGGUAAGCAAUUAGAGCUCCAAGCAAUCAGUCCCAGAUCAGAAGUUUUGAUUUCGAGUUCCGGCUGAUUGUUAUCCUUCUCCUUAUCUUGCAGGUAGCAUGAAGGAUAAAGAGAAGAAAAGGAGAAAAGGUGAUAUGAGAUACUUUUGCUUUUGAAGAAGUAACUUUCCACAGACUUAUUCUUGAACUGGGCUGGAGGGUUUUCUUGUUUCCACCAGAGUAUAAGGCCGACUGAAGAAUUUGAGGGUCAAAACAAGUCCAUCAAAUCUAGAGUACAUUCGACCCUGCUGAUAUGGGAUACUUUUGCUGUUGACAAAGUAGUGGAUGUAUCGGCACGUGUUCUGUUGCGCUUGUCUCCACAUGCUUCCUUGUAUCCUUCUCACUUGCCCUAUUUGUUCCUCAGGCAGAUGUGGUAUCUUCUCGGGAAGCAUAAGAUGUUGAAGAUGAGUACUCGAGAGCAAUGGGGUUCCAGGCAGUCAGUUCCGGACUGAAAGCUUGAUUCCAAGUGCUGACUGAUUGCUCUCUUUCUCCUUGUCUUGCAGGUAAGAACAAGGCCAAAGGAAAAGACAGGAAAAAAGCAUGAUAUGGGAUACUCUUGCUUUUAACCUUGAUGAUAUGAGAUAUUCUUGCUCUAGUGUAGCUUGUUUGCAGAGGUAUUCUCGGGGGGAAAGAAAGCUGAGUAUUUCGAGAGGCUUCGUUGGGAGUGCCCUCUCAGAUAUGAGGAAGGGUUGAGCAUUUUUGCAGGUCUGCCUGUCCGUUGAGGAUGGAGGUCGACAUAUAUAGGAGUCUCCCUAACAAGGAGUAAUACUAUUCUUUUACCCUGCUUGGUCAUAGCACGGUAGUGGGAGCUGCCAGCUUCACGUGUUUUAACUCUGUGAGAGCACUUUGAAAAAGUGGUCUGUGGUAUCUGGAAAGCUGAUGUUACGUGUGAAGAUUACAGACAAGCUUUAUCCAAGGAGAUCUGGCUCUCGAAGUUGAGAAAGCGGUGUGAGGAUUACAGACAAGCUUUAUCUAAGGGGCUCUCGAAGUUGAGAAAGCGGUGCCUCUUCGGUUUUCGAACAAGCAAUCCUGUCGGGGAUCUGUCUCUCGAGAUUCGAAGAACGGUGCCUCUUCGAUUUUUGAGAAAGCAAUCCUACUAGGAGUCUGGCUCUCGAGAUUCGGAGAGCGGUGUCUCGUCGCUUUUUUAGAAAGUAAUCGUGUUGGGAGUCUGGCUCUCGAGAUUCGAAGGACGGUGCCUCUUCGAUCUUGAAGCAAGCAAUCUUGUUGGGAGUGUUUUCUCGAAUGUGAGUAAAGGUUAGGCCUGUUUGCUAGUCUACCUUGCCACGGAGCACAGAGGUUGACCCACAGGGACUUUCCAAUUAUCCAGCAAUGGUCUUGUUCCUUUACCCUUGUGGGUAAUAAUAUGGUAGCUAGACUAGACUUUCAAAAUUUAUGUGUCUAAACUUUGUUAGUGUUGUUUCUUUGCUAUUCUUUUACCCUUCUUGGUCAUAGCGAUGUAAUGGGAGCUGCAAGCUUCACGUGUCUAAACUUUGUCAGAGAUUUUUGGCAAAGUUAUCUGUGGUACCCGUGAGCUGAUGUUGCGUGUGGAAAGUGAAUGAUUGAACAGUAACAUUCACGUGCUUUCUACUUCACUAGAAAUCUUCGACAGAAUGCCCGUAAUUUCCGCAAAGUUGAGUGUGCAUGUGACAGGUGCUGACAAGGCUGAAAAAGCAGGUGCCUCUUCGAUUUCUGAGAUUGGCCCUCGUGGUCUCUGAGCAGCCCAGCUUUUGAGAAAGCAAGCGCCUUUUCGAUUUCUGCGAUCGACCUUCGUGGUCUUUGAGGAGCCCAGCUUUUGAGAAAGCAAACGCCUAUUCGAUUCCUGAGAUCGGCCCUCAUGGUCUCUGAGUAGCCCAGCUUUUGAGAAAGCAAACGCCUUUUCGAUUUCUGAGCAGGCGCCUCUUCGAUUUCUGAGAUUGGCCCUCGUGGUCUCUGAGCAGCCCAGCUUUUGAGAAAGCAAGCGCCUUUUCGAUUUCUGCGAUCGACCUUCGUGGUCUUUGAGUAGCCCAGCUUUUGAGAAAGCAAACGCCUAUUCGAUUCCUGAGAUCGGCCCUCAUGGUCUCUGAGUAGCCCAGCUUUUGAGAAAGCAAACGCCUUUUCGAUUUCUGAGCAGGCGCCUCUUCGAUUUCUGAAGCUCCAUCGAGUGUGAAUUUUUAUAGAGGCUGGUAUUAAGUUCCAAAGCACACUUGAAUCUCCACCAGUAGAAGCUCCCUUCUUGCAUUUCUAAGAUCUUGAUUUGUCCGACUUCUUUUCUCUUCAACACCUUUGAAAAUGUCUGGCCCCUCCGACCGUCGUUUUGACUUGAACCUUGUUGAAGAGGCAGCCACGCCUUCUCCAGACAACAUAUGGCGCCCAUCCUUCGUAUCCCUUACUGGUCUUCUUACCGUUGGGGAUUCCGUGAUGAAGAAUGAUAUGACCGCUGCGGUGGUGGCCAGGAACCUUCUCACUCCCAAAGAUAACAGACUACUUUCCAAACGGUCUGAUGAGUUGGCUGUUAAGGAUUCUCUGGCUCUCAGUGUUCAGUGUGCAGGUUCUGUGUCUAAUAUGGCCCAACGCCUAUUUGCUCGAACCCGCCAAGUUGAAUCAUUGGCGGCUGAAGUGAUGAGUCUCAAACAGGAGAUUAGAGGGCUCAAGCAUGAGAAUAAACAGUUGCACCGGCUCGCUCAUGACUAUGCUACAAACAUGAAAAGGAAGCUUGACCAGAUGAAGGAAUCUGAUGGUCAGAUUUUACAUGAUCAUCAGAGGUUUGUGGGUUUGUUCCAAAGGCAUUUAUUGCCUUCGUCUUCUGGGGCUGUACCGCGUAAUGAAGCUCCAAAUGAUCAACCUCUGAUGCCUCCUCUUUCUAGGGUGCUGUCCAAUACUGAGGCUCCGAAUGAUCCCCCUCCGGUGCCUGCUCUUUCUGGGGCUCUGCCGACUGCUGAGACUUCUCCUAAGCAACCUUUGUGAAGGCUCUUUCUUGUUUGUUUAUUUUGACUCGUGUAUAUGUACAUAUUUGUAACUUCUUAGAGAUAUCAAUAAAUAAGCUUUGUUUCAUUUCAACGUAUUGUGUUAAAUACACCAAAGCCUUCUUCACUAAGUUCUUUGAAUUUUUCUUUUGUUAAAGCUUGUAUGUUGAAGCUUUAUGAGUGGAGCAUGUAGGUUGAGGUAGUGUUCCCUUAAUUUCCCGGGUGGGGAAAACUUCUCGAUUGGAGACUUGAAAAAUCCAAGUCACUGAGUCAGGUCGGCUAUAUGAAUCUUAAAACACCAUUGUGCUCGAUCCUGUGUCAUGUCCUCCGUUAGAUCCAAGUACUCUAAGUCUUUUCUUAGAGUCUCUUCCAAAGUUUUCCUAGGUCUUCCUCUACCCCUUCGGCCCUGAACCUCUGUCUCGUAGUCGCAUCUUCUAACCGGAGCGUCAGUAGGCCUUCUUUGCACAUGUCCAAACCACCGUAACCGAUUUUCUCUCAGUUUUCCUUCAAUUUCGGCUACUCCUACUUUACCUCGGAUAUCCUCAUUCCUAAUCUUAUCCUUUCUCGUGUGCCCACACAUCCAACGAAGCAUCUUCAUCUCCGCUACACCCAUUUUGUGUACGUGUUGGUGCUUCACCGCCCAAUAUUUUGUGCCAUACAGCAUCGCCGACCUUAUUGCCGUCCUAUAAAAAUUUUCCUUAAGCUUCAGUGGCAUACGACGAUCACACAACACGCCGGAUGCACUCUUCCACUUCAUCCAUCCAGCUUGUAUUCUAUGGUUGAGAUCUCCAUCUAAUUCUUCGUUCUUUUGUAAGAUAGAUCCUAGGUAGCGAAAACGGUCGCUCUUUGGUAUUUCCUGAUCUCCGAUCCUCACCCCUAACUCAUUUUGGCCUCCAUUUGCACUGAACUUGCACUCCAUAUAUUCUGUCUUUGAUCGGCUUAGGCGAAGACCUUUAGAUUCCAACACUUCUCUCCAAAGGUUAAGUUUCGCAUUUACACCUUCCUGAGUUUCAUCUAUCAACACUAUAUCGUCUGCGAAAAGCAUACACCAAGGAAUAUCAUCUUGAAUAUGUCCUGUUAACUCAUCCAUUACCAAUGCAAAAAGGUAAGGAUUUAAGGAUGAGCCUUGAUGUAAUCCUACAGUUAUGGGGAAGCUUUCGGUUUGUCCUUCAUGAGUUCUU